CUUCAUCUUCCAAGCUAGAUGUUGAAGCUGUACAUAAACAUUAUCAACAACAAAAGCAACGGUGAUUUUGUUAGAUAACAUGAUUGCAAUAUACCUUGAUCCCUCAUAGAGAUGAUUGCAAUAUCCUUCUGUACAAAUCGUGGUGGAGCCAUUCAAGUGAAUGAUCCAAUUAUCCAGUCAAGUAGUAUUAAGAAUCUAUCUCUAUUCAUUUUCAAGGAGACAAAAGAUGAGAUUUGUUGACUUUGAUGGGUUGGAGUUAUGGAAACGAGAUGGUUGCCAAAAAAUAUUCAGUUUCCGAUGUUCCGGAGGAGAGCGUUUUCGUUGAGGAAGGUUC